rnacentral:lncRNA from 1 species
AAGAGACAGCGCCGCCGGCCGUGGGGAGCGGACGCAGUGAUUUGCUCCCCCUCGUGCAGCAACCCCCACACCCAGCACCAGGAGCCUGUUCCUCUCACGCCCUCACCUGGCUGAGCCGCAGUAGUUCUUCAGUGGCAAGCUUUAUGUCCUGACCCAGCUAAAGCUGCCAGUUGAAGAACUGUUGCCCUCUGCCCCUGGCUUCGAGGAGGAGGAGGAGCUGCUUUCCCCAUCAUCUGGAAGCGGCUACAGGAAGCUGUGUCUGUUCGAUUUGGUGGGAGGAGAUGUGCAGGGAGCUGUAUCUUGUCCUCCGCUUGUGAAAAACUCAAGGAUGUGGAGAAGAGUAGACCGUGGAACCCUGCUCUUCUGCAGCCAAGCUGAGGGGCAGGAUGCGUGUGGGACAGUGGUAGAGAAGCAGGGGAUAGACUCAUAGGCUGCAACAAAGGUGACUCUGUCCCUGGACACUGC